ACAUUGUCUCUCUCUACUUUUCCAUCACCAACCCUUGAAGCUUUUGUUCUUCAUUGAUCUCAUUGGCUUGUGUCUGUGCAAGUGAUGAGGGAGGUUAGAUCUAUCGUCGACUAUGGGGAAAGGUUCUCUUUUUUUUAUGGUUCAGAUAUGAAGGUAGUGCGAUGGGGAGUUUUGUUUCUUGAGGUGUAGCAGAGGGUGGUUCAGAUCUGGUGUAGGGCAGCAGGUUUGGUGGUCUAUGGAUUCUCAAGAGGUCAUACAACGAGGCAACGACAAGGCUAGGAUUCGAGCUCGUCAGCUGACUCAAGCUCCAGUGCUCUGUAGUCUUCUCUUGGAAAUGCAGUUUUCACCUCAGUUAUUCAUGGUUUCUCCAAGGUUGGGGAUGUGGGAGAGGCAAUGGACAUGGUUAUUCCUAUAUAAGAUUGAAGUAGAGUAUUGUAGAGAAGGUCAUGUUUAUAAUUAUAUUUAUAGUGUUUAGAAGAAGAGGCGUGCUAUUGUUAGUGUUGUUGCUUUACAUUUUGGGAAUGUUGUUGUAUAUGGGCAUAGUGAGCUUUGAUGUCGUUAGCUUGAAAAAUGGUGUUGUUGUAGUUCAGGUCUUUGAGAUGCUUUGGCAUUUCAUGGAAGUUGAAAGCAAUGGAACUGAAAAUGUGUUACUUUUUCUGGCUUUACAUAGGUUCAAUUUUUGGUUUAUAUUUGGAGGCAUUUUUUGUGCUUGAAAUUUGAAUUCUAUGUUACUAUUGAAAAGCUGAAGAAAGAGUGUUUAUGGGAUUUUGAUUUUUUUUUUAAUUAGCUAGGUUUGUUUUAUUUUUAAUCUAACUUUUAUUUAGUUUUUGUUUAAUAUUCAAAUCAGAUUUUUGUUUAUAUGUAAUUUUAUUUUUU